GAUGAACGCUGGCGGCGUGCCUAAUACAUGCAAGUCGAGCGAACGGACGAGAAGCAUGCUUCUCUGAUGUUAGCGGCGGACGGGUGAGUAACACGUGGAUAACCUACCUAUAAGACUGGGAUAACUUCGGGAAACCGGAGCUAAUACCGGAUAAUAUUUUGAACCGCAUGGUUCAAAAGUGAAAGACGGUCUUGCUGUCACUUAUAGAUGGAUCCGCGCUGCAUUAGCUAGUUGGUAAGGUAACGGCUUACCAAGGCAACGAUGCAUAGCCGACCUGAGAGGGUGAUCGGCCACACUGGAACUGAGACACGGUCCAGACUCCUACGGGAGGCAGCAGUAGGGAAUCUUCCGCAAUGGGCGAAAGCCUGACGGAGCAACGCCGCGUGAGUGAUGAAGGUCUUCGGAUCGUAAAACUCUGUUAUUAGGGAAGAACAUAUGUGUAAGUAACUGUGCACAUCUUGACGGUACCUAAUCAGAAAGCCACGGCUAACUACGUG
rnacentral:rRNA from 1 species